UGGGCAGAUCGGAGCAGCAACAGUCCCGACUGUGGAUCACGCAACACAGGGUCAAGCUGAACAGCCAGGUGGCCUUGCACCAGGUGUACCAAUACGCCAGCAAGUACUACGAUGGGCUGAGCGCUCCCUGAAACACAGCGCCCGAUUGGCUGGAGUUUAUUUAGAUUGGGUUCCACGCUGCGUCAGAGCCCCAUUGGCUGGCAUUUCAGGCACUGUUGAAGUGUGUGCAAAGGAUCAAGGGAAGUACUCACAUAGGAGCCUGUCUGUCUGCCCCUCUGUCUGCCUGUCGGUAAACUUAUUAGCAGAGGUGAAGGACUUCCGGCUCAGGGGAUGUAUUCAUGUGGAUAUAUUUAUGAACACCCAGGUGGUCGAUAUAUAUCAUCAAAUAAGUGCAGACUACUGUGCAGAUUGGUAACCUAAUCUAGAAAGUUCCACCCUUUAGCCCAAAAGCACACAGAGCAGGAAAGUCUUUCUUUAUUUGUCAUGCCUGCCAAAAUACAAAAUAGAAUCAUGUGUUUUAACUCCCAGUCUAUUUUGGAUGUGGAAAUUUCGACGUAUUCGGAAUAUACGUUUUUUAUGAAUUUUCUUCCAAAUUCUUUUGGGCCUUUGUCAGGAGAAGCCGAACGACGUGGGGCCGUUGAAGCUGAACUGACGUGGCGAACUCUCCCUUCUCCCCUCAGAUCAUCCAUUCUCAGGAUGAAGACCCUGCAGCCCAGAGCAAACAGCUGACCCUGUGGCUACAGCAGAUUAACGCAGCACUCGAGAACAAGGUCACUGACCUUUAACCCCUCUGUGAGCCCUUCUACCCUCCCCAUCCCCCACCCCAGACAGGAAGUAGGACGCAGGAAGGAGGAAGAGGGUGAGGAGAAAGGGAUUGUUUCCCGCGAUUGUGGCCCGGGAUUGUCUUCUCCAUGACUCUUCGGCAGUAGGGCUCCGGCAAUCGGGGCAACAAUCCCUUUCUCCUCCAUGUGGCGGUUCAUUCUGGACUUCAGGGAGUCAAAGCCAAAGUUCCUUUCCCAAUUUCUUCUCAACCAUGGCCAAGAUAACCCCCACUACGAGUCUUGUUGUUGAAGAACCGGGAGUCCGCAAAAGGCAACAAUCCCUCCAGGACCUGGUUCAGUCUGUACUUCAGAUUGAUGUGGAAGUGAGAUUCAUAAUAUCAUCCGGAGGUGCACAC
ensembl:lncRNA